AACGAACGCUGGCGGCAGGCUUAACACAUGCAAGUCGAGCGCCCCGCAAGGGGAGCGGCAGACGGGUGAGUAACGCGUGGGAAUCUACCGUACCCUACGGAACAACUCCGGGAAACUGGAGCUAAUACCGUAUACGCCCUACGGGGGAAAGAUUUAUCGGGGUAUGAUGAGCCCGCGUUGGAUUAGGUAGUUGGUGGGGUAAUGGCCUACCAAGCCGACGAUCCAUAGCUGGUUUGAGAGGAUGAUCAGCCACACUGGGACUGAGACACGGCCCAGACUCCUACGGGAGGCAGCAGUGGGGAAUCUUAGACAAUGGGCGCAAGCCUGAUCUAGCCAUGCCGCGUGAGCGAUGAAGGCCUUAGGGUUGUAAAGCUCUUUCAGCUGGGAAGAUAAUGACUGUACCAGCAGAAGAAGCCCCGGCUAACUCCGUGCCAGCCGCCGCCGUAAAAC
rnacentral:rRNA from 1 species